rnacentral:rRNA from 1 species
UACGACUGGUGCAAGCGUUAAUCGGAAUUACUGGGCGUAAAGCGCGCGUAGGUGGUUCGUUAAGUUGGAUGUGAAAGCCCCGGGCUCAACCUGGGAACUGCAUCCAAAACUGGCGAGCUAGAGUAUGGCAGAGGGUGGUGGAAUUUCCUGUGUAGCGGUGAAAUGCGUAGAUAUAGGAAGGAACACCAGUUGCGAAGGCGACCAACUUGGCUAAUACUGACACUGAUGUGCGCCAGCGUGUUGAGCCAACAUGAUUAGAUACACCCGUAGUC